rnacentral:pre_miRNA from 1 species
AUGGGCCUAUGUGUGUCUCGUGGUGGAUUUUAUGAUAUAGCCAUGAGAUCAUAUUAGACCCAUCU